GAUGAACGCUAGCGGCAGGCUUAAUACAUGCAAGUCGAGGGGCAGCAUGAUUGUAGCAAUACAAUUGAUGGCGACCGGCAAACGGGUGCGGAACACGUACACAACCUUCCAAUAAGUGGGGAAUAGCCCAGAGAAAUUUGGAUUAAUACCCCGUAACAUAACGAUGUGGCAUAACAUUGUUAUUAUAGAUUUUUCGCUUAUUGAUGGGUGUGCGGCUGAUUAGAUAGUUGGCGGGGUAACGGCCCACCAAGUCUACGAUCAGUAGCUGAUGUGAGAGCAUGAUCAGCCACACGGGCACUGAGACACGGGCCCGACUCCUACGGGAGGCAGCAGUAAGGAAUAUUGGACAAUGGACGCAACCCUGAUCCAGCCAUUCCGCGUGAGUGAAGAAGGCCUUCGGGUUGUAAAGCUCUUUUGUCCGGGAAGAAACGGUUUCACCUAAUACGUGAGACUACUGACGGUACCGGAAGAAUAAGGACCGGCUAACUACGUGCCAGCCGCCGCCGUAAGAC
rnacentral:rRNA from 1 species